rnacentral:rRNA from 1 species
CACGUAGGGCGCAAGCGUUGUCCGGAAUUACUGGGCGUAAAGCGUGCGCAGGCGGUUUGCUAAGAGAGAUGUGAAAUCCCCGGGCUUAACCUGGGAACUGCGUUUCUAACUGGCAGGCUUGAGUGUGGCAGAGGGGGGUGGAAUUCCAGGUGUAGCGGUGAAAUGCGUAGAUAUCUGGAGGAACACCGGUGGCGAAGGCGGCAUCCUGGACCAAUUCUGACGCUGAGGAGCGAAAGCCAGGGGAGCAAACGGG